rnacentral:rRNA from 1 species
GACGAACGCUGGCGGCGUGCUUAACACAUGCAAGUCGAACGGAAAGGCCCUUCGGGGUACUCGAGUGGCGAACGGGUGAGUAACACGUGGGUAACCUGCCCUCAGCUUCGGGAUAACUCCGGGAAACCGGGGCUAAUACCGGAUAUUCAUUGUCUGCCGCAUGGUGGGUGGUGGAAAGUUUUUUCGGCUGGGGAUGGGCCCGCGGCCUAUCAGCUUGUUGGUGGGGUGAUGGCCUACCAAGGCGUCGACGGGUAGCCGGCCUGAGAGGGCGACCGGCCACACUGGGACUGAGACACGGCCCAGACUCCUACGGGAGGCAGCAGUGGGGAAUAUUGCGCAAUGGGCGGAAGCCUGACGCAGCGACGCCGCGUGAGGGAUGACGGCCUUCGGGUUGUAAACCUCUUUCAGCAGGGACGAAUGUAGACGGUACCUGUAGAAGAAGCACCGGCCAACUACGUGCCAGCCGCCGCGGUAAAAC